AGUGGCAGACGGGUGAGUAACGCGUGGGAAUCUACCCAAUUCUUCGGAACAACACAUGGAAACGUGUGCUAAUACCGAAUGAGCCCUUCGGGGGAAAGAUUUAUCGGAAUUGGAUGAGCCCGCGUUGGAUUAGCUAGUUGGUGGGGUAAAGGCCUACCAAGGCGACGAUCCAUAGCUGGUCUGAGAGGAUGAUCAGCCACACUGGGACUGAGACACGGCCCAGACUCCUACGGGAGGCAGCAGUGGGGAAUAUUGGACAAUGGGCGCAAGCCUGAUCCAGCCAUGCCGCGUGAGUGAUGAAGGUCUUAGGAUUGUGAAGCUCUUUCACCGGUGAAGAUAAUGACGGUAACCGGAGAAGAAGCCCCGGCUAACUUCGUGCCAGCAGCCGCGGUAAUACGAAGGGGGCUAGCGUUGUUCGGAUUUACUGGGCGUAAAGCGCACGUAGGCGGACUUUUAAGUCAGGGGUGAAAUCCCGGGGCUCAACCCCGGAACUGCCUUUGAUACUGGAAGUCUUGAGUUCGAGAGAGGUGAGUGGAAUUGCGAGUGUAGAGGUGAAAUUCGUAGAU
rnacentral:rRNA from 1 species